rnacentral:misc_RNA from 1 species
CUCUCUUUCCAUCCCAAGUGGCACGACUGCAGCAUUGGUUGGGCACAGUGGAAGUGGGAAAUCAACAGUAAUCAGCCUGAUAGAGAGAUUUUAUGAUCCAAAAUCUGGUGAAAUUCUUAUAGAUGGCAUUAACCUCAAAGAAUUUCAACUUAAAUGGAUUAGAGGAAAAAUUGGUCUUGUCAGCCAGGAACCGGUGUUGUUUUCUUCUAGCAUCAAGGACAAUAUUGCAUAUGGGAAGGAUGGUGCUACUAUUGAAGAGAUAAGAGCUGCAGCUGAACUUGCCAAUGCUGCAAAAUUCAUUGAUAAACUACCUCAG